UGAACUUGUAAAAGAAUGAGUUAGGUUCUUAAUCUCAAGAAAAUUAAAGAUUAACAUACAAAAGAAAGCUAACGAUGAAGUUGGAAAGCCCUGCUACCGACCAUUCGUUAUAAUAAAAUUUAUCAUACCAUUUGAAGUCGAUCUAAUUGGGUUGGAUAUAUUCUAAACAUAUUAGAUGUUUAUUUAGACUUGAAAACAAUAGAGACGCUCCAUAAAUGCCUCAAAGGCAUGAGAAAUACAUCAAAACUUGUGGUAUAACCGGAAAGUACUGCUACCGGCAAACCACACAUUAAUAUAAUUAAAUAAUUUAAAAUAAAUUGAAAGCGAGAUAGAAGUUACUUUUAGGCUAACAAAUACCAUAUAUUCAAGAGAUUAAUUUAAGCCAAACUUAACAAACGUAAGUCAUUAAAGAAACCAUGCUAUAACCACAGGAUUCGAGGGGUGCCUCACACCUUCCUCUCGGUUAACAGAAUUUCUUAUCCAAAUUUCUAAUUCACAGACCAAAAACAAAGAGUCAUUUUUUUUUAAUUGGGGAUUCAAUAAGAUGACUUGAAACACCCAAACUCAAUUCCAAGUGGCGAUUCUGUAAAAUAAAUAAUCUUUUUUCAAAACGUCACUUUAAUUGAAAAAAUCCAUUUUCUCUAAAACCAACUCCCAAGCAGGGUUGGGCGGUAAAAAUAGGGGUGUGACCGAUGACGACUCUGCUAAGGAUAACCAGAAUUUGAGCUUUUAUAUUGACUUGUUUGGCUUUACUUAAUAUUUGAUAUUACAUUUGUUGGCCUAAGUAUGUUAUUUGCCUACUUGUUUAUUGCUUUGAUAUUAUUUGAAUUGCAAUAUAAAUUGUCUUCUCUCGCGCAUCCAUCUGAUAUACUUUAUAUUCGGAGAUGUGGCAUAUGCUCCCAAGCCUUGAGAUAUCAGAGAUGUGGCAUAUGCUCCCGAGCCUUGAGAUAUCAUAGAUGUGGCAACGCUCCUGGGAAGGAUUUUAUAGUCACACGUGAUUUAGGAUGGGAAGGACCAAUAGUGAGGCCGAAAAGCACUGCUACCGGUAAGUUGUCCCUACCCGACUAGAGUUGUCCGCUCGUUUUACAGCCAGUCUAAACACCUAUUCCAUCAAAAAGUUAUACCUAGCAGAACAAGCCUUGGACAAUGAUUAUCCUUAACAGGAUUCGCUUUUUUACAUCACAUGCAUUUUGAUUUAGUGGAGGCUCGAUAGAGAUUUGAAUGUAUAAAAGUACCCUAUUUUAAGACUAUUCAUUUUCUAUGCAACUAGUUGCAUUAACUGUCAAGUUGUUUUGAAUGUUGGUCUGAUUUAGAAUGCAUUAACGUAAGAGAGGGUGAAAAUAACUCUCUAAAACCUAUUCUUUUUCGAAAUCCAAAUGAGGUGCGAGGUUUGCUUUCACAAAUAAAAGAAAAAAAAUAGUUUUUAAAUUAUCGAGUUUGCCCCGUCAGCACGAACUACGCAUACCUGAUUUUCAUCUCAGUGAGAUACGUAGGCAGCCUUCCACGAGUUCGGUGAUCCUUAAAAACGAAUGUUGUUUUUUUUUCUUAAAGAAAAAAAAAGGAAAAGUUUUAAUCCUUAUAAAAAAUCAAUCAAUUCGUUUUCAAAAAUUUAAAAAAAAAUCAUUAUUAAUAAAUUCAGAAAAAAAUUAUCUUCUUUUCAUUAGUCAAAUAAAAAGUGGGUUUCUUCAUGUCUCUAAUUGGAUGAACUACGCACACCUGUUUCUCAUCUUAAUGAGAUAUGUAGGCAACCCUUCUUGGGUUCGGUGAUCCUUAUUAAAUUUGAAAAAAAAAUAUCUUAUUAUUUUUUUUUAUAUAAAAAAGGACGUUAGUCUUCUUCAAAAAGGAAUCCUUAUACAAAAUUACAAAAAAUGUCCUUAUUAAAUUUUAAAAAAAAAUAAUAAAAGAGAAAGAAAAGUUUUUCCUGCCUAUUCAAAAUUAAAAAAAGAAAAAAAAAGUUCUUGCUUCAUAUUUUAAGCUUUCUGGACUAUGUUUGACUUGAUUCUUGUUUCAAAAAGAUACGUAGGCAACUCUUCUUUUGGGUUCGGUCUCAUUUAAAAACUAUAUAUAUUCUUGACUUAAUAAUUGGUACCAACAUACUUAAAAAUAUGAAUUAAAAAAAAUGUUAAAUUAUAAGACAUGAUAGAGUGGACCAACUUAGUUGUGAACUAUAGAUUCUUUUGGUACCUUUAAUUAUACUAAAGUUGCACUUGUAAAUUUUUCUUGCUCUAAGUCAAGUUUAAAAUAAAUCUUACCUCACUGUUUUAUGUGUAUUGUGUGGUGAGCUUUAGAUUGACAAUUCAAUGAAAUCGCUCUGUUGAUCUAGAACUUGGCUUGAAUGUCUGUUGAGGCGAAAUUUUGAGCAACACUUCACUUGGGAGAGGAUUAAGGCUUUCUUUGACUCUAUUGUGCCUUUAAAGCCUACCAAAUAAAAUGUAAUCCCUAGACUUCCCCCUUUGAGCCUGAAUUUUUUUCCUUGGAUAACCACUUCUGAGUUUAUACCUUUCGAGUGCUUAUAUGCACUAUUCCUCUUUUGGCCCACCUUCUUGAGCGCACUAAAUACGUACAUGUUACAAAUGAAGAUUCAAGAUCAAAAGCGCCAAAGGCAAAGAACGUAUAGCCCCAGGAGAACAAAAACAAAAGGCAACUUCAGAGAAGAAGGAGCAAAAACCCUAUUAAAAAAAAAAACUCCAACAAAGAUAGAGAAUCUUCAUUAAAAAAAAUACAUUUAUCGAAAAGAAAAGGGAAAAAGCUCCAACACAAGAUUCAAAUAAAGUCGAAGCAAAUACAAAACAAGGGGCAAAGAAGCACAACAAAGAAGAUCGAGCGUCAAACCGCAAUAAAUGUCAAAAGCACGGAAACAGUGUAGUGCUCAUUGAGGAAUUAGUCACUUACAUCCCAAAUAUCAUCCUACCUGUCCCUAAGCCUACAUUACAGGCCGAUAACAAGUCCUACUUGAUUUCAUUUUGAGUGUUCUCGCAUUAGUGGAUACUUACAUAAUGGUCAAGCUUAUGCUAUCUCAUAGCAUGCAUUGAAUAUCUUUUUGAGUGUGAGUGCUUCUUGGACAUCCUAAAAGUUAAACUCUGUUAUGGAGAGUGAAUUAGGAUUUUAUUUGUGGUGAGGACACUAGAAACAUAAGGAUAAGAAUAAUUUAAAUGCUUGAUUUAGAGCAAGACAUAUAUAUCUUGUAUAAAACUUAAGUAUAUUUGAGGUACCAUUUGAAACUAUAGUGAUUACUUUUGAGUUGACUUCGGUUCUUAUUUGAAAGUAAUUUGAAGUGACUCCUAUGCAUAAUACUAAUUAUUGGUAUCAAUUGAAGUCAAGAAAUGAGUUAUUUUCAUUCUUCUGAUCUUUACAAAGCACAUACUUUCAAAAAAAGAAUGAAAUAAAAAAAAUAUUAUGUUUUUAUGAACUACAUUAGACCUGAUUUUUGCUAUGCAAGAUACGUAAGCAAUCCUACAAUAGGAUUCGAUCCCGCUGAAUAAAAUUUUUUAUAUCUCUAAAUGGUAUAAUACUGGGGCAUUUCUUUUUCAAAAAUUAAAAAUGAGUCAAAAAAAAAAAUCAAAACCCCUCACAUUCAAAACUGGACAUAUAUUUUCCCUUUUCUAAAAAAAAAAUUAUAAUAAUAAUUAUAUAAGUCUUUAUAGGGUACGACAUUUCCUAGUUGACAUCUUAUGAAACAAUUUCCUAAUUUUCUUCUUCAUCUUCAUAGGGUACGACAUCCCCUAGUUGACAUCUUAGGAAACAUAAUUUCCUAAUUUUCUUCUUCGUCUUCAUAGGGUACGACAUCCCCUAGUUGACAUCUUAGGAAACACAAUUUCCUGAUUUUCUUUUUUCGUCUUCAUAGGGUACGACAUCCCCUAGUUGACAUCUUAGGAAACAAUUUCAUAUUUUUCUUCUUCGUCUUCAUUGGGUACAACAUUACCUAGUUGACAUCCUAGGAAAUAAAAUUUUCUAUUUUUGUCCUUUAUGUCUUUAUAGGGUACGACAUUCCCUAGUUGGCAUUUUAGGUACGACAUACCCUAGUUGACAUCUUAUGAAACAAAAUUUUCUAUUUUCUUCCUAUGUCUUCAUAGGGUACGAAAUUCCCUAGUUGACAUCUUAGGAAAUAAAAUUUUCUAUUUUUCUACUUUAAAUUUUCAUAAGGUACGACAUUCCCUAGUUGACAUCUUAGGAAACAAAAUUUCCUAUUUUUUUCUUUAUGUCUUCAUAGGGUAUGACAUUCCGUAGUUGUUAUUGUGGAAAACAAACUUUUCUAUUUUUCUCUAUUAAGUAUUCAUAGGGUACGACAUCCCCUAGUAGACAUUUUAGAAAUUAAAACCUCUCAUUUUUCUUCAUUAAAUCUUCAUAGGAUACGACAUUCCCUAGUCGCAUUUAAGAAGUAAAUAUCCCAAUUCUUUUUCAUGCAUUCAUAGGUAUAACAUCCCUUGGUUGCAUCAUUAUGAACAAGAAUCUUAUUUUAUUGCGUACCUACCUUAGAUUUCUAUCAUUUUCAUUUAUAUAUUUAUUUUUAAAUUAUUGUAUAGUUUUUAUAAUAACUCACAAAAUUUUCCUAGUGCAAACUGGGGAAGAAAAAUUUUGUUCAUCUUUGUUUGUUUUCUAUGAUGGCUUGUAGGUUUUUCUGCAAAGAACAGAUUUGAUGUCCAAGAAUGGAAUCAUAUCUCUGAUUAGAGUAGAGAAGAAUGUUCAAUCUCGAAGAUAGUUAGAGCCAACUAAGCAUAUGUAGCGGCCCACCUUCUCAAGAGUCGUCUUCUUAGCUUCUGGUCAAGAGAACAAACAUCCAAUAAGAUUCUAUGAACUGUCUUUUGGAGGAGCGUCAACGACUCAAUCCAAAUUUCAAGUUCAAGUCUCAAAUCCUAACUUCAAGAUCAAAUUUUAAGGUUAAGGUACCCACCAAAAGAAGGUGAAACUAUAACCGAAGAUCUAAAAAGAAGAUCUGAAACAAGAGAAUCAAGACAAGUAGAAUACAUAAAAAUUUGUAUUUUUCAUUUCUAGCUUCAUUUUUCUUUUCUGAUGUAAUAAAAGAAAUUGCAAAUCGAAAUCUCGAUGGGGCCUCGCUCGAUUCUUUAACUCAUCCCUUCAUUCCUACACCCAUUUGAACUACACGUGACCUGGUUCUCCUAAACCUCGAGAUAUGUAGGCUGUCGAAAGCCAGGGCUCGGUCAUACCUCUUUUCUACUUAUUUACAUAUUACUUUGAAAUACAUGGUUGGACCAAAAAUUAGUCAUAUUUACUUCUUUGCUUGAAAACUCUCCAUGUUUCCAAGCAAAGAGGGAUAUUCUGUAAACACCUAAUUUUUUUAUCAAACAUAAGGUUUUAUGCCAUUUUAGCAUUUAAAUAUUUUAUUUUAGGUCUAAAUUAAAUAUUUUAAUUUUUAUCUUAUUUACAAGUUUGCUUUAAAAGUUUUGAAAACUACCAAAAAGUAGUCAGAUUUUAAAUAAUUUUUUUUUAUUUUUAUUACUUAUUUAUUUAUUUAUUUUUAAAAAAGAGAAUUUUCAAAACUAUAUUUGUUUUCUUCUUUUAAAUUUUGAAUAAACAAUCUAGUGAUAUUAAUAUUUUCGUAAUCAUAUUUCUAAGACUAGCUAUUUAACUUAUUUGUAUUUUGUUAGUUUUAAAUAGAUUUAUUAUUUUUAUUUUAUUUAAAAUAUUGAUUAAAAAAAAAAAAGAAAAACCUAAAACUACCCAAUAUCCCCAUUCCCCUUAACCUAAACUACCCAUUCCCACACCCUAAAACCACCCCCACUUUUCCCUCACAAACUCCCUCAACUGCACACACAACACUCUCCUAUACAUGGACAUACAUCACACAUGGACAAAGACCGAAAACACAGAAAGAGAGAGGGAGGAAAAGUAAGAAAAGAGAGAAAACAAAGAAGAAUAAGCAGUAACGAAGAAAGGGACGAACAUUUGAUGAAGAAUAUAAAAAAUCAUAGCAGAAGAGGAAAAGAAAGGAAGAGAGUUCGGGUUUGAGUUUGGGGUCUCCGUUUGAGUUUUCGAUAACGGCAUUCUUGCUUUUAUACUGGAUUUAUUUCAUCACAUGGGUUUUUAUCCAACCCAUUAUCAUUAUUUUUUGUAAGUAUUAUUGAGGAUCAAAGCAUAAAUAACGUUAUUUAUAUGAUUUAUGUGUUAUUUAUGUUUAAAGCUCGAUUACGUUAAAUAAUUUAUCUUUUAUUAUCUUUACUUAGAUACCAUUUAUCUCUAUAUUUUUAAAUUGUAAAUAUGUUAAGAAGUUAAUGAGUUGAUAAAGAAAAACUAAACAUGAUGCAUUGACUAAUCGUGGGUUUUGAUUGUUAGACUAAAAUUAAAAGAAGUCAUGUUAAUCAAUAAAAGGUGGCUUUAAUUUGUUGUUUCUUUUAUCUUUUUGUGAACAAAAUGUGGUAUUCAAAUUUAUUUAGAAUUUUACUAUAGGUUAAGAACUUAAUUUGAUUCAAAGUCUUAAAUUUUCAAAAGUUAACGUGAAGGUCUUAAUUCUAUUUUAGUGAUCAAUAUACAUCACUGUCACUUUGUGAAAAAUAUUGUUAGUGUUUGCAUGCUAUGGUAUAUUUUGGUGCAGAGGCUAUUAUUUCUUUUGUAUUCAUAUGUCCAUUUUCAUGCAUGUCUACCCAUUAUUAUAAAUUGAUGAUUUGAAACAUAUAGGAUUUUUUUUAUUUCUUAAAUUAUAUGAUAUCCAACUAAAUAGGUUUAUAAUUGUGUUCUUAUAAAAAAAAUAUUAAUGUUUUACUUCGUUAUAGUUGAAAUGUCAAAUUUAUCUAUUUUAUUUUAUUAAUUUUUUAUGUUCCAAUAUUAGAAUACUAUUAAGAGAUGAAGAUAUCACGUGGAUCCUUUGAAAAAUAAAUUUGCUACUCACAUAAUGGAUAUGGUCAAAAUGCUUGACAUGGACUUAAAUUUAUUUUCAUUCUCUUAAGGGAAAAAGAUUAGUAAAAGAACAAAGUUUCUCCAAUAACCAUUGACAGUAGUUUGGCUAUUCUUUAUGUUUAUACUUAGAACUCAGGAUUUUGGUUAGUUUUCCUAUGUGGUGACUUUAUUUCAGUAUCAAAUAUUUUGUAAAAUAUUCAGUUUAAAGUUCUGGGUGAAUAUCAAAAUUAUAACAGGUGUUUAUCUUAGUAUGUUCUAUUAAUAAUUUAGACUAAAACCAAUCCUAUGAUCUAAUUACCAAUCAAUCGUAGAAAAUAAGUGAAAUGGAUUGCGGAUUUAUCUAAGAUCCGCCAUAAAUAAUAAAAAGAAAAAAGGAGGAAAAACCGAUUUGUGUAAAGGGGUGAACUUGUAAAAGAAUGAGUUAGGUUCUUAAUCUCAAGAAAAUUAAAGUUUAACAUACAAAAGAAAGCUAACGAUGAAGUUGGAAAGCCCUACUACCGACCAUUCUUUAUAAUAAAAUUUAUCAUACCAUUUGAAGCCGAUCUAAUUGGGUUGGAUAGAUUCUAAACAUAUUAGAUGCAUUUUAGACUUUAAAAAAAUAGAAACGCUUCAUAAAUGCCUCAAAGGCAUGAGAAAUACAUCAAAACUUAUGGUAUAACUGGAAAGUAUUACUACCGGCAAACCAUACAUUAAUAUAAUUAAAUAAUUUAAAAUAAAUUGAAAGCAAGAUAGAAAUUACUUUUAGGCUAACAAAUACCAUAUAUUCAAGAGAUUAACUUAAGCCAAACGUAAGUCAUUAAAGCGACCGUACUAGAACCAUGGGACUCGAGGGGUGCCUCACACCUUCCUCUUAGUCAACAAAAUUCCUUAUCCGGUUUUCUAAUUCACAGAUCAAUAAAAAAGAGUCAUUUCCUUUUGAUUGGGGAUUCAAUAAGAUGACUUGAAAUACCCAAACUCAAUUCCAAGUGGCGACUCUGUAAAAUAAAUAAUUUCUUUUCAAAACGUCAUUUUAAUUGGAAAAACUCAUUUUCUCUAAAACCAACUCUCUGGGGGGUUGGGGCGGUAAAAAUAAGGGUGUGACAACAACCACCAAAUUUGAGGUCAAAUUCCCUUCAAGUUGGAGAGGAUGAUAAGGGUACACCAAGUUCAAGACCAUUCACAAGCUAAGUAGUCAAGUUCGGGAGUUAUAAAAACUCCAAGACAUGUUCAUGAAUAUGGCCGUGUGUGAGUGUGUUAUAAAUCCAUCUAAGGGAUUACAUAUUUGAAGUGUGAAGAGGGACUUCGAAGUACAAUAAACUUACACUCCAAAGUCACCCCUUGGACAGGGACAAAAUGGUCAUUUGCCACUUAUUUUGUGAUGAACUAUAAAUAAAAUACAUUAGGGUUAUUUUGGAGUUUAGUUCAUUAUUAUCAUUCACAUAAGACUUGUAAUAUUUUGAGACCUCUCUCUCGCCUUUCUUGAACACCCGAAACUACAAUUAGUGUAGUUCACUUGUGUUGUUGUUAGCUAGAAACUUGGUAUUGAUAUCUUCUAGUCUUAGGGUCCUUUCAUUUGAUACAUGUUAAGGUUCUUAUAUUCUAGGAUAUUGUAUGUCAAGUUAUCCAUCUACUUUAUCUUUGUAAUCUUGUUGAUGUUGAUCUUGUUCUAGUGAAGCCGUGUGGGGCAUUGUUGUUUCUAUAUUGUGUUGAAUUUUAUUUCCUUGUGUUGUUGGCUGAUUUUUGUAUUAUGUCUGCUUUCAGCUAUCUACUACUCACGCUUAUAUAUAUUAAUAAGGAUUCAUAUAUUUCAUAUAUUUUAAGUCUAUUAAUUUUUUCAUGUAUUUAUUUAUCAUAAUUUUUUCAUAUAUUUUAGGAGUAUUUAAUUUAAUAAAAUAAUAAUUAAAAGUAAAUUUUAAUUUAUUUAUUUUUUGAUGUUUUUCAUGGUUUUUUUUCCUAUUUUUUGUCAAGCUUUUAUUCCGUGACGUUUGCCAUGGACAUUUUCUAUUUGUUUGGCAAAUGUUUUUUUGAUUUUAUUUUGGACGUGUGUUAUGGGGUUUUGUCUUUUUUUAUUUAGGUCAAGGUUGUUUUUUUUUAAUGUGUUUGCUGUCCUAUUUUUUCGAAUCAAGACUAUUGUAAUUGGAAAAGGUUUUUUUUGCCUACUUAAAAAUUUAAUCAUGAUAAGAAUUUUUUUUUAUUUUAAUAAAUUUAUUAUAAUCACUAUUUAAUAUCAUAAAUAAUAAUUAAAAAAAAUAAAAAAUGAAUUUGUCUAUCAUAGAGACUUUAAUGAAGAAUAAAAAGUUUAAAUAAUAUAUUCAGAGUUAAAGAUGGUCAAUCUAAAGGGAUUGAACAAGGAUAUAGUAUGUGAGGCACUCCUUUUAAGUCUCUUUUGAACCAUUGAGUCAACUAACCACUUUGUUAAUGGGUUUUUCACUUAUUAUUCUUAUGUAUUUAAUAGAUAUUUAAUAUAAUUAUAAGGUAUACGAAAAUAUUUGAGGACUCCCAAAAAUCUCCAUUCCCAAUGCUAGAUUCGCCUCUGAUAAAUAUAGAUAUAAAUAGAGAUAGAUAAACUCUUUUAUUAUUAUAACAUACAUACUUGUUUAAAAACAAAAUGAUAAAUUAAAUUGAUCCGCAUAUUUUUUACCUCGUGAUAGAUUCAAUUGUAUCAAUUUUUGAAUAAAUAAUUUUAAUCUCACGCAAUUAGCUGAAUAUACGCAAAAUUAUAUAAAUAGCUAUGACAACGAACCAACUUAAUAAGCAACCACUAAACGAGGGAAAUGUUUUAAUAUUCAGGAGAGAUGGACUCGUAGAAAUUUGUGUUGGCAAAAAAUUAUGAACUCACAGCUGAGCUUCUUAUGCUUAUGGAUGAAGAAAGUGUGGUCAUCAAUAAGCAAGAACUAGGGUCAUUUUCGCUUUUUCCAUGUUUUUACGGGAUUUGGCUCCUCUCCAUUAUAUUUUCUCUCCAUUUUCUUAAGUACAUAUUUAGAUGAAUGACACUUGUCUAAUUUAUUUUUUAAAAAUUAAAAUUAAAUCAAUUUAACUAACAUCUUAACUAUGAUUAAAAUAUUAAAUUUGGAACGCAUUUUCUUAUUUUUGACAUCCAAUAUUAAUCUCCCCACAUAUUUUAGUAAUCAUUAACUUCAAAUGUGCGUCAAACUUCCCUGCCCCUCCCAUUCACGAAUCCAUCUAAAUUAGGAAAGUACUAUAUGUGAUCAUAAAUUUUAGAAAAUUGAUUUUAAAAUAUUUGAAAAAUUAAAUUAAAGAGCAUAUGAGGAGAGUGAAAUCAUAGUUUUAAUUUUCAGUUUUUUUUUUUUUUUAAGAAAUAAGAAUUUUAUUGAUCAAGAAUAUGAGUGCAAUUCUAUUCCUCACUUGAUUCUUUUUUUUUUUUUCAUAAUUCGAGGGUUGCUAAUAGCGUAUUUUUUUAACAUAAGAAGAUUUGAAUUUGACCUCCAUAAAGAAAGUUUUUGCAGAUCUUUUUAAAGUAUAUGAUUAUCAAGAAGUGAGGGUUUUAGUUUCUUUUUUAUUAAUAUUCCAUGAGUUUAUGGAAUUUUUGAGAUAUUAUUCGAGAUCUAUUUUCAAGUGACAAUUGGGAAGCAAAUUAGAGUGUUGAAAUUAUUAUGAUAGUAUUUGGAUUAGUUCUCUUUCAAUUUAAUUUAAUCGAGAUGAUGAAUAUAUAAAAAAAUAUCAGGAAGGAUACUGUAACAAUAAUGAUUAUUUUGAUGCUAUUAAAUUUUAUUAAGAUUUUGAAAUAUAUGAACAAGCUUUGGAUUAUCCAUAUUUUCAGUUUAAAAUUACAAAUGAAAUUAAUGAGUAUCAAAAUAUUAAUUAUAUGCAUACCAAAUUAGAGUAUGUUUUCCAAAUUUAAUAUUUUAAUCAU
rnacentral:lncRNA from 1 species